rnacentral:rRNA from 1 species
AGCGAACGCUGGCGGCGUGCCUAACACAUGCAAGUCGAACGUGAAAAGGGAAACCUGAUUAAAGUGGCGUACGGGUGAGUAACGCGUAGGUAAUCUACCCCAUAAUCUGGAAUAACCUGCCGAAAGGCGGGCUAAUACUGGAUAGAGCGAGGGAACUCGUAAGAGAGUUUUUCGGGUGAGGGAGUCCGCCAGGGCGUUCGGGCUGGGCUGAGCCUGCGUCUCAUUGGCUAGUUGUUAAGGUAACGGCUUACCAAGGCGAGGAUGAGUAGCUGGUCGGCGAGGAUGGUCAGCCACACUGGAAGUGAGACCCGGUACAGAGUGCCAGGGGAGGCAGCAGUAGGGCAUCUUGCGGAAUGGACGAAGAUCUGUGGAAGACAGGCCGAGUGAGUGUAGAGGGCCGUCGGGUUGUAGAGGUCUGUCGGAUGGGUGGAACCUCUUCAUAGUGGAUAGCUAUGAGGAGUGACGGUAACAGCAAAGGAAGCACCGGCUAACUACGUG